AUUAUAAUAGUUUGGACAUAUUGGGUUACAUAUUUAUUGUAUUUUUGGUAGAGACGGGGUUUCACCCUGUUGGCCAGGCUGGUCUCAAACUCCUGACCUCAGGUGAUCCACCCGCCUCAGCCUCCCAAAGUGUUGGGAUUACAGGCGUGAGCCACUGCGCCCGGCCAAAAUUUCAGAACAUUUUCAUCCUCUCCCCCAAGCAGAAAUUCUGUACCCGUUAAGCAAUCACUCGGCGUCCGUCCUCUCCCGCAGCCCCUGCAACAUGAAUCUACUUACCGCCUCUAAGGAUUUCCCUCUCCGGGACAUUUGUACAAACGGAAUCCCACACCGUGAGGCCUUUUCUGCCUGGCUCCUUUCAUAUGCUGCAAGGUCCCCGAGUGGUGGCGGGUGGCAGUGCUGUGUUCCUUCCUGCGGCUGAAUGUGUCCUGUUGCGUGGGCCCACCGUGCCCUGCCUCUCCCUCUGCCUGUCUGCUGACAGUCCCUGGUUUCCUUCUGUCUCUGGGCUCUCAUGCUCCUGUGGACAUGGCUGCGCAGGUGUUUGUAUGGACAUUUGUUUUCCGUUCUCUUGGGUGUAUACCUAGCAGUGGAGUUGCUGGGUCAUAUCAUAACUCUACGUUUAAUCUGUUC
rnacentral:lncRNA from 1 species